UGGGGCCGUAGCUCAGCUGGGAGAGCGCUUGGAUGGCAUUCAAGAGGUCGAGGGUUCGAUCCCCUUCGGCUCCAA
rnacentral:tRNA from 1 species